AACGAACGCUGGCGGCAUGCCUAACACAUGCCAGUCGAACGAGACCUUCGGGUCUAGUGGCGCACGGGUGCGUAACGCGUGGGAACCUGCCCUUAAGUUCGGAAUAACUCCCCGAAAGGGGUGCUAAUACCGGAUAAUGUCUUCGGACCAAAGAUUUAUCGCCUUUGGAUGGGCCCGCGUUGGAUUAGCUAGUUGGUAGGGUAAAAGCCUACCAAGGCGACGAUCCAUAGCUGGUCUGAGAGGUUGAUCAGCCACACUGGGACUGAGACACGGCCCAGACUCCUACGGGAGGCAGCAGUGGGGAAUAUUGGACAAUGGGCGAAAGCCUGAUCCAGCAAUGCCGCGUGAGUGAUGAAGGCCUUAGGGUUGUAAAGCUCUUUUACCCGGGAUGAUAAUGACAGUACCGGGAGAAUAAGCUCCGGCUAACUCCGUG
rnacentral:rRNA from 1 species